UACAGAGGUGCCAAGCGUUGUUCGGAUUUACUGGGCGUAAAGGGUGCGUAGGUGGCCUAGCAAGUCGGAUGUGAAAUCCCGGAGCCUAACUCCGGAAUGGCAUCCGAAACUGCUGGGCUCGAGGUCUGGAGAGGUGACUGGAAUGCUCGGUGUAGCAGUGAAAUGCGUAGAUAUCGAGUAGAACACCAGAGGCGAAAGCGGGUCACUGGACAGAUUCUGACACUGAGGCACGAAAGCCAGGGGAG
rnacentral:rRNA from 1 species